AUGAAAAAGCACAAAGAGCUUAAUGCAUUGAUUGGCUUGGCUGGGGAGAGCCGGAGAAAGAAACCCAAGAAAGGCUCAGGCCACCGCCUACUUCGCACGGAGCCUCCUGACUCAGACUCGGAGUCCAGCUCAGAGGAGGAAGAGGAAUUUGGUGUAGCUGGAAAUCGCUCUCGCUUUGUCAAGGGAGACUAUUUACGAUGCUGCAGGAUCUGUUAUCCCCUCUGUACGUUUGUCAUCCUUGCCGCCUGUGUCGUGGCCUGCGUUGGCCUGGUGUGGAUGCAAGUCGCUCUGAAGGAGGAUCUGGAUUCCCUCAAGGAAAAGUUCCGAACAGUGGAAUCUAAUCAGAAAAGCUCAUUCCAAGAAAUUCCCAAACUUAAUGAAGAACUACUCAGCAAACAAAAACAACUUGAGAAGAUUGAAUCUGGAGAGCUCGGGUUGAACAAAGUCUGGAUAAACAUCACAGAAACGAAUAAGCAGAUUUCUUUGCUGACUUCUGCAGUAAACCACCUCAAAGCCAACGUCAAGUCAGCUGCAGACUUAAUUAGCCUGCCUGCCACUGUAGAGGGACUUCAGGAGAGUGUAGCUUCCAUUGACAACACUUUAAAUAGUGUCCAUCUUGCUGUGGAGGCAGUACAGAAGACUGUGGAUGAACACAAGAAAACUGUGGAGCCACUACAGAGUGACAUGAAUCAGCACACCUUGAAGGAAACCAAUGGAAGCAACCAGAUCAUUCCAUCACCUUCCACUCUAUCUGAACUUGAAAAUAAAACCCACAGUGAGAAUUUGAAACAGGAUAUCCUGUACCUCCACAGCUUUUUAGAGGAAGUAAAUAGUGCCCAAGUUGGGUAGUACCAGAGACAGAAUGAUCUUAAACUCGAGGGGAUGAAUGAGACCAUCAGUAAUCUUACCCAAAGAGUCAACUUGAUAGAAAGAGAUCUGGUUGCUAUGAGCAAGGUAGAAAAGCAAGCGAACCUGUCCUCCAGCAUGGUGAAUGAUAGAGCUGCCACUCUGAAGAGAGAGUCUUUGCAUCAAGUGACCAACAGAAUAGAGUCAGUAAAAUCCCAGGGCAUAAAGAAAGAAGAUAGUUCAGAUUCUCAGGUAUCUAAGCUUAGAGAGAAACUGCAGCUGAUAAGUGCUCUCACGAACAAACCUGAGAGCAGCAGGCCUCCAGAGACUGCCAAUGAAGAGGAAGUACAGAAUUUCACAUCAAAGCCAUCAACAUUGCCAAAAUUCCCACAGUCUCUUGGAGACCACAUUGAGAAGGCUGUCCAGCUAAGACCUGCUUCCCUUCCAGGAAUUUCUAGCAUCGAAGAUCUUCAGGGCUUAUUCCAUAAGACUGGCCAGGAUGUGGAUGGGAAACUGACCUACCAGGAAAUUGAGGACUCCUUAGAGUCUAUUGGGCCAGAACCAGAGCAUUUGAGAGAGUUUGAUUCUGAUGGAGAUGGAAGAUACUCAUUCUUGGAGCUGAGAGCAGCUUUAGGUGUCUAGUCUCAUCAAGCUCAUUUCAGAAGUGGAUGUAUGCUGUGGACUACCUAUUAUCUGCUCAGCUAACAAAAACAACCCUUUACCUACCCAUCAAUCCUCCAGUCCUCCAAACUACAAUAGCAGACACAUUGUCACCUUUUAACUUGUUUGAAAAAGCUAUAUAAAAGUUAUUUUUUUAAAAAAAAGACCAUUUUACUUAUAAUAUUCAGAAAUCUAUGAUUUCCUGAAACCAGUAAGAUCUUAAUUUUAAAAUUGCCAGAAAAAAAGUCAAGCCCUCUUUUUUUUCUCUUUCCUUUUUCUGACGGGAGGAGACCUUAUCUUUUAAAACUGGAAAAUGUGUAUAUAGAGAGACUAAGCCACCUUUUAUAUUUCACAUAAAUUUGCCUUAAAUUAGCUGCACUUUAUACAGACUCAGAAAAUGUCUUUCCUUCAGCAGAUAGACCUUUUCUGUUUGUAAAUAUUUAAAAUGAAAGAGUUGUGCAUAUUUUGUGAGAAGUGGGAAGAAUGGUUUGAAACAGGAUGUGAACAAAUGACUUAUUAUUAAAAAUUGCUAAUCUUAAAAAAAAAAAAA